rnacentral:rRNA from 1 species
GAUGAACGCUGGCGGCGUGCCUAAUACAUGCAGGUCGAGCGAACAGACGAGGAGCUUGCUCCUCUGACGUUAGCGGCGGACGGGUGAGUAACACGUGGAUAACCUACCUAUAAGACUGGGAUAACUUCGGGAAACCGGAGCUACUACCGGAUAAUAUAUUGAACCGCAUGGUUCAAUAGCGAAAGACGGUUUUGCUGUCACUUAUAGAUGGAUCCGCGCCGCAUUAGCUAGUUGGUAAGGUAACGGCUUACCAAGGCAACGAUGCGUAGCCGACCUGAGAGGGUGAUCGGCCACACUGGAACUGAGACACGGUCCAGACUCCUACGGGAGGCAGCAGUAGGGAAUCUUCCGCAAUGGGCGAAAGCCUGACGGAGCAACGCCGCGUGAGUGAUGAAGGUCUUCGGAUCGUAAAACUCUGUUAUUAGGGAAGAACAAAUGUGUAAGUAACUAUGCACGUCUUGACGGUACCUAAUCAGAAAGCCACGGCUAACUACGUG